UUUAUGGAGAGUUUGAUCCUGGCUCAGGAUGAACGCUGGCGGCGUGCCUAAUACAUGCAAGUCGAGCGAACGGACGAGAAGCUUGCUUCUCUGAUGUUAGCGGCGGACGGGUGAGUAACACGUGGAUAACCUACCUAUAAGACUGGGAUAACUUCGGGAAACCGGAGCUAAUACCGGAUAAUAUUUUGAACCGCAUGGUUCAAAAGUGAAAGACGGUCUUGCUGUCACUUAUAGAUGGAUCCGCGCUGCAUUAGCUAGUUGGUAAGGUAACGGCUUACCAAGGCAACGAUGCAUAGCCGACCUGAGAGGGUGAUCGGCCACACUGGAACUGAGACACGGUCCAGACUCCUACGGGAGGCAGCAGUAGGGAAUCUUCCGCAAUGGGCGAAAGCCUGACGGAGCAACGCCGCGUGAGUGAUGAAGGUCUUCGGAUCGUAAAACUCUGUUAUUAGGGAAGAACAUAUGUGUAAGUAACUGUGCACAUCUUGACGGUACCUAAUCAGAAAGCCACGGCUAACUACGUGCCAGCAGCCGCGGUAAUACGUAGGUGGCAAGCGUUAUCCGGAAUUAUUGGGCGUAAAGCGCGCGUAGGCGGUUUUUUAAGUCUGAUGUGAAAGCCCACGGCUCAACCGUGGAGGGUCAUUGGAAACUGGAAAACUUGAGUGCAGAAGAGGAAAGUGGAAUUCCAUGUGUAGCGGUGAAAUGCGCAGAGAUAUGGAGGAACACCAGUGGCGAAGGCGACUUUCUGGUCUGUAACUGACGCUGAUGUGCGAAAGCGUGGGGAUCAAACAGGAUUAGAUACCCUGGUAGUCCACGCCGUAAACGAUGAGUGCUAAGUGUUAGGGGGUUUCCGC
rnacentral:rRNA from 1 species